GAUGAACGCUGGCGGCGUGCCUAAUACAUGCAAGUCGAGCGAACGGACGAGAAGCUUGCUUCUCUGAUGUUAGCGGCGGACGGGUGAGUAAAACGUGGAUAACCUACCUAUAAGACUGGGAUAACUUCGGGAAACCGGAGCUAAUACCGGAUAAUAUUUUGACCCGCAGGGUUCAAAAGUGAAAGACGGUUUUGCUGUCACUUAUAGAGGGUCCAGCGCUGCAUUAGCUAGUUGGUAAGGUAACGGCUUACCAAGGCAACGAUGCAUAGCCGACCUGAGAGGGUGAUCGGCCACACUGGAACUGAGACACGGUCCAGACUCCUACGGGAGGCAGCAGUAGGGAAUCUUCCGCAAUGGGCGAAAGCCUGACGGAGCAACGCCGCGUGAGUGAUGAAGGUCUUCGGAUCGUAAAACUCUGUUAUUAGGGAAGAACAUAUGUGUAAGUAACUGUGCACAUCUUGACGGUACCUAAUCAGAAAGCCACGGCUAACUACGUG
rnacentral:rRNA from 1 species